UGGGGAAGUUUUGUCGCAAUGGGGGAAACCCGUAGACGCAGCAACGCCGCGUGAGUGAUGAAGGCUUUCGGGUCGUAAAGCUCUGUCAGUGGGGAAGAAAUGGAUGUCGCUAAUAUCGGCAUUUCUUGACGGUACCCACAAAGGAAGCACCGGCUAACUCCGUGCCAGCAGCCGCGGUAA
rnacentral:rRNA from 1 species